CUAAGCAUGAAGCCCCCCUCAAGAUGAGAUUUCCCAACUUCGGUUAUAAGAUCCCUCAAAGAUGAUGAGGUUAAUAGGUUCGAGGUGGAAGCGUGGUGACACGUGGAGCUGACGAAUACUAAUCGAUCGAAGACUUAAUCAAAUU
rnacentral:rRNA from 1 species